rnacentral:lncRNA from 1 species
AAACUGAAGAGGAAACCCUGCAUCUUGUGAGAAACUGAGUUCUUCGGUGACAAAGGGGCUUUGCCGAUUACUCUGUUGACUUGCUCGUGGAGGGCACCUAGACUCAGAGGCUGCAUAUGGCCCAGAGCACCACCUUUCCUCCAGGGAAAUGGCGGCUACAGACAUCUUAUACAUUCUAAUUAUUAUAAUGGUGGACUUGGCGCUUACAAAGAAACUAAUGAUUCAUUAGAACCAGUGGGAUUUGGAAGGAUGUGAAUGACAUCUGACAGAUAAACCUUCUAAUUUUAGACUACCUGACAAGGCCCCUGAUGAAACUGAAGAUGGCAGCACGCCCUGGGCCUCUCUGCACUGUCCUGAAGGUGGACAGUAGAGAAACAAGAAAAUGGACUCCCUUUUCCUGGAGACCUGACUGAAUGCCAGCCACCGGGAGGCCAUCCCAUGGAGAACCAACUCAUUCCAAGCAGCUGUUUCUCGAGUCAGAAGAGAUGGUGGACCUCAACCAGGCAACCCAGAUGACAGCAUGCAAUUACCUACCUAAACAUUCAGAGGACCACAUUUGACUACUUGGUUCUUUGGGGGCAGGGAUCUAGAAGCUCAAGGUUUUGCAUUUAGGUCUAGAAGACUCUCUUUGCAAAAACCCUUCCAAGUGAAUCUCAUUGGGCAGUAAAUUUAUAAAUGAGCUGUUAUCACAUCCCAAUAAAUACACAAUUUGACUUUAAGAUAAUCCUGUU